rnacentral:misc_RNA from 1 species
GUUAUCAUUUGUUUUCAGAAUUCUAAUUACACAAGUACAAAUGUUCAGUUUGCCAUGAUCAACUUUUUUCCCAUAGAGCUUCAAAACCCACCUUCUUCAUAGAUUUACAUGGGGGAACAAAGAUUCAUUCAGAUGUUGAGAAGCUAUUUCAAUGAUUAUUACAUAGCUUCAAAUAUGGAGCUUGUAAUAAUUUCACAUGAUGCUAAUGUUAUUUAAUUUCAUAUUUAUUUUGGCAUUCACUUUUACUCAAGUUUACAUAUCAUAACUUUUUCUCACGACUUAAUUUUUUUCCAGACAAUAUAGAUGUCAUUGAGAAACUCAUCAAUUAGUUCAUGCACAUUAUUCACAUCAACAUCAUGUCAUCAUCUCCAUUUCAUCCGUAUAUAUCCGUUGUCGUUCAUCAUCUUUGUGGCUAAAAUCAUUUUUGCAGUUGAUAGAUGACCACUUAAAACUUUGGGGGAAAAAGGUGAAUUUGAACGAACCCAUCUGCUGCAGUCUCCUUUUCUUAACUUACAAGUACUGCAGCAGUUGGAUGUUUGUUUGCAAUAACUAUCUUGACUUUCGAUAGAAUUCCGGUUUACUAGGAUGCUUCUCUUAGAAGAAAAUGCUUCCAGAAAAGAAACAAGAGGGUGGUUCUCUUGGGUCAGGAGGAGAUAGAUGAGAAUUCUACUAGAAAGCAUAUAGGUAAGCCGCGCGGAGAAAAUAGAAUAGAAUAUGCAGAUUGUCUCUUGUUUGGGGCUUCACUGUGUAGUUUUGUUGCAUUAUUUAUUUGUGUAGAAAUUGAGCCACUUGAUAUCUUACCAAAUAUAUUGUAGAAAAGACUUGAAUUCUUUGUAUAUUACAUUUUAAAUGCAG